rnacentral:rRNA from 1 species
GNAAGUCGAGCGGACAGAUGGGAGCUUGCUCCCUGAUGUUAGCGGCGGACGGGUGAGUAACACGUGGGUAACCUGCCUGUAAGACUGGGAUAACUCCGGGAAACCGGGGCUAAUACCGGAUGGUUGUUUGAACCGCAUGGUUCAAACAUAAAAGGUGGCUUCGGCUACCACUUACAGAUGGACCCGCGGCGCAUUAGCUAGUUGGUGAGGUAACGGCUCACCAAGGCAACGAUGCGUAGCCGACCUGAGAGGGUGAUCGGCCACACUGGGACUGAGACACGGCCCAGACUCCUACGGGAGGCAGCAGUAGGGAAUCUUCCGCAAUGGACGAAAGUCUGACGGAGCAACGCCGCGUGAGUGAUGAAGGUUUUCGGAUCGUAAAGCUCUGUUGUUAGGGAAGAACAAGUACCGUUCGAAUAGGGCGGUACCUUGACGGUACCUAACCAGAAAGCCACGGCUAACUACGUGCCAGCAGCCGCGGUAAUACGUAGGUGGCAAGCGUUGUCCGGAAUUAUUGGGCGUAAAGGGCUCGCAGGCGGUUUCUUAAGUCUGAUGUGAAAGCCCCCGGCUCAACCGGGGAGGGUCAUUGGAAACUGGGGAACUUGAGUGCAGAAGAGGAGAGUGGAAUUCCACGUGUAGCGGUGAAAUGCGUAGAGAUGUGGAGGAACACCAGUGGCGAAGGCGACUCUCUGGUCUGUAACUGACGCUGAGGAGCGAAAGCGUGGGGAGCGAACAGGAUUAGAUACCCUGGUAGUCCACGCCG